GCUUCCUUGGCUCAGUCGGUAGAGCGUAGGUCUCAUAAUCCUAAGGUCGUGAGUUCAAGCCUCACAGGGAGCA